GUGGGGAAUUUUGGACAAUGGGCGCAAGCCUGAUCCAGCAAUGCCGCGUGCAGGAAGAAGGCCUUCGGGUUGUAAACUGCUUUUGUACGGAACGAAAAGGCUCUGGUUAAUACCUGGGGCUCAUGACGGUACCGUAAGAAUAAGCACCGGCUAACUACGUGCCAGCACCCGCGGUAAUACGUAGGGUGCAAGCGUUAAUCGGAAUUACUGGGCGUAAAGCGUGCGCAGGCGGUGUUGUAAGACAGACGUGAAAUCCCAGGGCUCAACCUGGGGAUGGCGUUUGUGACUGCAAAGCUGGAGUGCGGCAGAGGAGGAUGGAAUUCCGCGUGUAGCAGUGAAAUGCGUAGAUAUGCGGAGGAACACCGAUGGCGAAGGCAAUCCCCUGGGCCUGCACUGACGCUCAUGCACGAAAGCGUGGGGAGCAAACAGGAUUAGAUACCCUGGUAGUCC
rnacentral:rRNA from 1 species